ACGAACCAUAUUAUAUUACAUAUAUCCUAAAAGUUAAAUAGUAGGUUGUUCUAUAUAUGUAAUAUAGAUAAUAAUUAUAUCUUGAUGUAUCUAAAAGUAUAUUUAGAAGUAUUUUACAUAAAGGGCAUUUAAGUACUUCGAGAAAUAUAGUAAAACUUAAAGUUUGAAGACAUUUCUUUAUUCUGGAAGAAGAAGCUCAUUUGAAACUAUUCAUCUGCAAACUUCUUUCCCACAUCCAUUGCAACCUUCUCUUUAUACAAAAAUCCUCUGCCAACUCUUCUAAAGCUGUAGUAAAGGAGCGGCGAUAGUAAAGUGUCAUUAGCGCAUUCUAGAUUUUUUCUUACUCUAUCUCAAGCGACAGUGAAGUCUCCUCCGUGAGCGACCAACUGAAGCAAAAGGUUUCCAUUUCUAGCAAUAUAUUUAGGUGGUACUGAAGAACCAUUAACUAGGUGGUUAUAGGGCUGGAGCUUUCACCCAAUUAGGUUAGUAUCUUCAUGGAAGUGCUUAUUAUCUCUUUGUGAUGUUGUUUCUGUGUGUUUUCUCGUUUGUGAAAAUUUAUUAUUAUUUAUUCUUUAAAAUAUGAAAAAUAACAUGGAUUAUUUUAUCAGGGCAUUGGUAGUCAUAAUUUGUUGUCUAAAUAUGAAUACUUGUAAUUUGUUAAUUUAUUUAAGUUAAAGACGUUCAAGUAGGAAGACGAUAAGAUAUGGGUAAAUAAAACAAAUGUAUCACACAUGGACUCUCAUAGUACCAAUAUUUUAGUUGAAAAGGCAAAAAGUUGUCCGUCUACAACAAAAGUUGGAGAAAUAAGCAGAUAUUUACUUGUUUAGUAGCAAUAUUUGUAUACUAUUUAUUAUAGUAAGAUAUUAAAUCAACUGUUAUGAGAUAUUUUUAUUUUAUUUUCAGUAUAGAGUCCAACAUUGAGAUAUUAUUAUAUGAGUUGGUGAAGGAGGAUUUGUUCUUCUAGUUA